CGCGUAGGCGGCGCUGUAAGUCAGAUGUGAAAGUCCACGGCUUAACCGUGGAAGUGCAUCUGAUACUGCAGUGCUUGAGUAUCGGAGGGGAAAGUAGAAUUCCCGGUGUAGAGGUGAAAUUCGUAGAUAUCGGGAGGAAUACCGGUGGCGAAGGCGACUUUCUGGACGAAUACUGACGCUGAGGCGCGAAAGCGUGGGGAGCAAACAGGAUUAGAUACCCUGGUAGUCC
rnacentral:rRNA from 1 species